rnacentral:other from 1 species
AUGUCCCUGCUGUGUGCGUGCGGAUUGUAUGACAAGAACCAACAUUAAGACACAGGGAGCUUGAGCCCGGAUGCGGAGCGGCAUGCUCUUUUAACAAAGAGAAACCCGAAACAUUCGAUAGAGCGCCCACCUAAAAAAUGGGUUCUGUGUUGUUAAACAAUCUCACGGCAUUCGCGGGGAUUAU